CCCUUAGAUGUUCUGGGCUGCACGCGCGCUACACUGAUGCAUUCAAUGAGUAUUUUCCUUACUUGAAAAAGUUUGGUAAUCUGAGAGUAGUAUGCAUCGUGAUGGGAAUAGACUUUUGCAACUAUUAGUCUUGAACGAGGAAUUCCUCGUAAGCACAAGUCAUCAGCUUGUGCUGAUUACGUCCCUGCCCUUUGUACACACCGCCCGUCGCUCCUACCGAUUGGGUGCUCCGGUGAAUUGCCUGGAUAUCCGAUGCUUCUACCUUUGUGGCAGCGUAGUUUGUUUGAAGUUCUGUGAACCUUAGCACCUAGAGGAAGGAGAAGUCGUANCA
rnacentral:rRNA from 1 species